GCCUGGGUGGCUCAGUCGGUUAAGCGUCUGACUUCAGCUCAGGUGGUGAUCUCACGGUCUGUGAGUUCGAGCCCCGCAUCGGGCU
rnacentral:tRNA from 1 species